CUUUAUUUGGACAGAGGAAAUGAUACAGAUUUUGUAUACUUUGACCUCAGUUAAGAUUUUGAAAGGAAAAAAACAACGAUUUUGAGAAAGAUAUGAAAAAAAUUAAAUUCAGCAGAAACAAGUGAGAAGAAAUCCCAUGCAGGAAUAAUCAACAGCAUAAGGAUGGUAUCAGUGGAAGUGGGUCUCUAGCAGUUAUGCAGAAAAACAGAUAGGAGGUUACAGAGGAUGAUGAAACACUGUGAAACAGCAGUGUUAGGAUACUGUGAAAAGAGAUAAACAUCAACCUGGGAAGUAUAAACAGACAUUAACUAACUGCUAUGUAGUACACAGUAAGGGAAGACUGGAGCACUGUGUUCUGUUAGAAAAGAUACGUUUUCAAAAAACAUGUAAAGCAAUUAAUGGAAGCUCAGAUGAUAAAAAUGGAAAGAAGCUAACAUGUGGUAUAUGUAAUCUGAAAAGGUUGAGCAAAUUGGGAUAUCCUAGCUUAAAGAAGAGGAUGCUGAAGAGGAAGAUGACAGCCUUCAUGAAAUAGAUAUUUCCCAGAUGGGCAAGCUACUGAAGAGAUACUGAAGAUAUUAAAAAUCAGAUAUUUGAAUGAAACCUUAGAAAUCAGAACUGGAAGGAUUCUAGAGAGACUAUACUAUUCAUUCCCAUGUGCAUGUUUCAAGUCAAUGCUGUGAAUAAUUCUGAUAAAUUAAGUGAAAUUUCUCAUGAAAGUGCCAGAUCCACACUGAACCAACCUGAAAGUGGAAAUGAGCAGUGUGAUGACUUGAACCUGGAAGCUGCGGUCAUAGCUUGGACCAAGAGAAGUCAAGGAAGAGCAAGGCGGAGGUCAGAAUUUGAAACGACUGUCUUUCAUGA
rnacentral:lncRNA from 1 species